rnacentral:rRNA from 1 species
AAAAAAGGUAAGCUACUAAGAGCGAAUGGUGGAUGCCUUGACUGGUAAAGGCGAUGAAGGACGUACUAGACUGCGAUAAGCUACGGGGAGCUGUCAAGAAGCUUUGAUCCGUAGAUUUCCGAAUGGGGCAACCCAAUGUAUAGAGAUAUACAUUACCUAUAUAGGAGCGAACGAGGGGAAUUGAAACAUCUUAGUACCCUCAGGAAAAGAAAUCAAUAGAGAUUGCGUCAGUAGCGGCGAGCGAAAGCGCAAGAGGGCAAACCCAGUGCUUGCACUGGGGGUUGUAGGACUGCAAUGUGCAAGAGGUAAGUUUAGCAGAACAUUCUGGAAAGUAUAACCAUAGAGGGUGAUAGUCCCGUAUGCGAAAAACAAACCUUAGCUAGCAGUAUCCUGAGUAGGGCGGGACACGAGGAAUCCUGUCUGAAUCCGGGUCGACCACGAUCCAACCCUAAAUACUAAUACCAGAUCGAUAGUGCACAAGUACCGUGAGGGAAAGGUGAAAAGAACUGAGGUGAUCAGAGUGAAAUAGAACCUGAAACCAUUUGCUUACAAUCAUUCAGAGCCCUAUGUAGCAAUACAGGGUGAUGGACUGCCUUUUGCAUAAUGAGCCUGCGAGUUGUGGUGUCUGGCAAGGUUAAGCAAACGCGAAGCCGUAGCGAAAGCGAGUCUGAAUAGGGCGCUUAGUCAGAUGCUGCAGACCCGAAACGAAGUGAUCUAUCCAUGAGCAAGUUGAAGCUAGUGUAAGAACUAGUGGAGGACUGAACCCAUAGGCGUUGAAAAGCCCCGGGAUGACUUGUGGAUAGGGGUGAAAGGCCAAUCAAACUUCGUGAUAGCUGGUUCUCUCCGAAAUAUAUUUAGGUAUAGCGUUGUGUCGUAAUAUAAGGGGGUAGAGCACUGAAUGGGCUAGGGCAUACACCAAUGUACCAAACCCUAUCAAACUCCGAAUACCUUAUAUGUAAUCACAGCAGUCAGGCGGCGAGUGAUAAAAUCCGUCGUCAAGAGGGAAACAACCCAGACUACCAGCUAAGGUCCCUAAAUCUUACUUAAGUGGAAAACGAUGUGAAGUUACUUAAACAACCAGGAGGUUGGCUUAGAAGCAGCCAUCCUUUAAAGAAAGCGUAAUAGCUCACUGGUCUAGUGAUUUUGCGCGGAAAAUAUAACGGGGCUAAAGUAAGUACCGAAGCUGUAGACUUGCACACAACUUAGAUUAUUUAAGUUUAGAAUAUGAGAAACUAAGUUAUAUGUUUAGUUAUAUUUUUACUGAUUUUUAUAGAGUAAAGAUAGAAAUAAAACUUAGUAAAAUCAGUAAAAAUAUUCUUAGACUAAAGUUAAGUAGUUUAAGUUGUGUGCAAGUGGUAGGAGAGCGUUCUAUUUGCGUCGAAGGUAUACCGGUAAGGAGUGCUGGAGCGAAUAGAAGUGAGCAUGCAGGCAUG